GUGGGGAAUUUUGGACAAUGGGCGCAAGCCUGAUCCAGCAAUGCCGCGUGCAGGAAGAAGGCCUUCGGGUUGUAAACUGCUUUUGUACGGAACGAAACGGUCCGGGUUAAUACCCUGGGCUAAUGACGGUACCGUAAGAAUAAGCACCGGCUAACUACGUGCCAGCAGCCGCGGUAAUACGUAGGGUGCAAGCGUUAAUCGGAAUUACUGGGCGUAAAGCGUGCGUAGGUGGUUGUUCAAGUCUGUCGUGAAAGCCCUGGGCUCAACCUGGGAAUGGCGAUGGAAACUGGGCGACUAGAGUGCGGUAGAGGAUGGCGGAAUUCCCGGUGUAGCAGUGAAAUGCGUAGAUAUGCGGAGGAACACCGAUGGCGAAGGCAAUCCCCUGGGCCUGCACUGACGCUCAUGCACGAAAGCGUGGGGAGCAAACAGGAUUAGAUACCCUAGUAGUCC
rnacentral:rRNA from 1 species